GGGUAGGGCUAUUAGGUGUUUGUAGUUUGCUCCAAUUCAUUGAAACUGGAGCUCCUCGACGGAGCAACGAGGCGAAAAGGUGGGACUAUUCAAUGUUUGUAAUUGUUGCAUUGAAAAGUUGUCUAAUUUCUUGUUGGAUGUUUGGACAAAACAACUAGAAAUAUGAGAUGCAAAUCAAUGGGACGUUUGUUAAUACCCUAACUUCAAGGAGCAAUAAAGUAUUGAUGAUACGUAAGUUUUUUGAUUAAUUCUAACCUUUUUGUGGGAUGAUAAGAGUUGCAUAGGCAGUAGAAUUAGCAAUGUAAUAAAGAUGAAUGUUAUGAAGACCAAUCACAGGUUGUAAUGACCAAUCACAAAAGUAAAUUAGCUUUUUCAAAAAUUUGGUAUGUGUUAGUCUGUUAUAGAUACCAAAAUUUGCUAUGUUUUUCUGAUUCAAUUGAUUUUUUUUAGCGAGGUUUAUUUAUUGUUAAUAGGGGAAGGGUCAGUUGGCUUUUUAAGAAGAUGGGACUUUCAAGGAGCUGUUACUGUUUCAUCACACUUUCAAGGAGAUGGAACUUCAAAGUUUGAAUUUUCAAGGAGAUGGAGACUGGCUGGAGUAGGAAUAAUUUGGUCGAGUGAAGAUCAGCGGUUGUGGAUGGUGUAGCUCAUUUGGUAGUUAGCUAGUUCCUUCAGUGAUGGCCGAAAAUGGGUAUUAAUAUUUUUUCAGGGUGUGAUUGGAGAAUUAACGAAGGUGGGUACCCAUUCUUGAUUUUGAUUGUAAUGGA
rnacentral:lncRNA from 1 species